rnacentral:rRNA from 1 species
UGGGGAAUAUUGCACAAUGGGGGAAACCCUGAUGCAGCGACGCCGCGUGAAGGAAGAAGUAUCUCGGUAUGUAAACUUCUAUCAGCAGGGAAGAUAGUGACGGUACCUGACUAAGAAGCCCCGGCUAACUACGUGCCAGCAGCCGCGGUAAUACGUAGGGGGCAAGCGUUAUCCGGAUUUACUGGGUGUAAAGGGAGCGUAGACGGACUGGCAAGUCUGAUGUGAAAGGCGGGGGCUCAACCCCUGGACUGCAUUGGAAACUGUUAGUCUUGAGUGCCGGAGAGGUAAGCGGAAUUCCUAGUGUAGCGGUGAAAUGCGUAGAUAUUAGGAGGAACACCAGUGGCGAAGGCGGCUUACUGGACGGUAACUGACGUUGAGGCUCGAAGGCGUGGGGAGCAAACAGGAUUAGAUACCCUGGUAGU